ensembl:misc_RNA Metazoa_SRP Metazoan signal recognition particle RNA
GCUGGAGGUGACAGCAUAUGCCUGUAGUCCCAGCUACUUGGGAGGCUGAGGCAAGAGGAUUGCUUGAGUCCAGGAGUUCCCAGCUAUAGUAUAGUGCUAUGCCAGUUGAGUAUCCACACUAAGUUCAGCAUCAAUGUGGUGGUGAUGUCCUGGGAGCCUAAGGAAGGGUGAACCAGCCCAGGUCGGAAACAGAGCUAGUUAAAACUCCCACGUUGAUCUGUAAUGGUAUCAUACCUGUGAAUAGCUACUGCACUCCAACCUGGGUUUCAUAGUGAGACCCUGUCCCUU